AGUGAACGCUGGCGGUAGGCCUAACACAUGCAAGUCGAACGGCAGCACAGGAGAGCUUGCUCUCUGGGUGGCGAGUGGCGGACGGGUGAGGAAUACAUCGGCAUCUACCUUUUCGUGGGGGAUAACGUAGGGAAACUUACGCUAAUACCGCAUACGACCUACGGGUGAAAGUGGGGGACCGCAAGGCCUCACGCGAUUAGAUGAGCCGAUGUCCGAUUAGCUAGUUGGCGGGGUAAUGGCCCACCAAGGCGACGAUCGGUAGCUGGUCUGAGGGGAGGAUCAGCCACACUGGAACUGUGACACGGUCCAGACUCCGACGGGAGGCAGCAGUGGUGAAUCUUGGACAAAGGGCGCAAGCCUGGUCCAGCCAUACCGCGUGAGAGAAGAAGGCCUUCGGGUUGUAGAGCGCUUUUGUUGGGAAAGAAAUCCUGUCGAUUAAUACUCGGUGGGGAUGGCGGUACCCAAAGAAUAAGCACCGGCUAACUUCGUGCCAGCCGCCGCAGUAACAC
rnacentral:rRNA from 1 species